AACAUCAUGUGAUGAGAUUGGAAAUUAUCUUAGGACACCUUCCAACACAGCAUUGAAAAAUGCUGUGAGUGAGAAAGAAAAUCCUUUCUGAUGAUGUU
rfam:Beta vulgaris subsp. vulgaris chromosome 5, whole genome shotgun sequence.